GUGCUUGCUUUGGCAGCACAUAUACUAAAAAAUUAGAACUAUACAGAGAAGAUUAGCAUGGUCCCUGUGCAAGGACGACAUGCAGAUUUAUGAAGCAUUCCAUAUUUUU
ensembl:snRNA U6 U6 spliceosomal RNA